rnacentral:rRNA from 1 species
UACAGAGGUCCCAAGCGUUGUUCGGAUUCAUUGGGCGUAAAGGGUGCGUAGGUGGCGCCGUAAGUGGGGUGUGAAAUUUCGGAGCUUAACUCCGAAACUGCAUUCCAUACUGCGGUGCUUGAGGACUGGAGAGGAGACUGGAAUUCAUGGUGUAGCAGUGAAAUGCGUAGAGAUCAUGAGGAAGACCAGUGGCGAAGGCGGGUCUCUGGACAGUUCCUGACACUGAGGCACGAAGGCUAGGGGAGCGAACGGG